AGGGGGCCCGGCCUAUGUUCCUUGGAACAGGGCGUCGCAGAGGGUGAGAAUCCCGUUCUUGGCCGGACAGCCCCUCCGGUGUGCAGUGUCUUCUACGAGUCGAGUUGUUUGGGAAUGCAGCUCAAAAUGGGUGGUAAAUUUCAUCUAAAGCUAAAUAUGGGCGAGAGACCGAUAGCGCACAAGUAGAGUGAUCGAAAGAUGAAAAGCACUUUGAAAAUAGAGUCAAACAGCACGUGAAAUUGUUGAAAGGGAAGCGCUUGAGACCAGACUCGGCCAUGGACUAACAGCUGUCCCUUCUGGGCGGUGCACUUGUCCUUGGCCGGGCCAGCAUCGGUUGGGACGGCGGGACAAAGGCUGGGGGAAUGUGACUCCCUUGAGGAGUGUUAUAGCCCCCGGCGCCAUGCCGCCCGCCCCGACCGAGGACCGCGCUUCGGCUAGGAUGCUGGCGUAAUGGUCUUCAGCGGCCCGUCUUGAAACACGGACCAAGGAGUCUAACAUCUAUGCGAGUGUUUGGGCUU
rnacentral:rRNA from 1 species